rnacentral:lncRNA from 1 species
UGAACCCAGCCCUUGGUGUUCAAAAUCACUUUUAGGAGAAGUAGAGCUUUUUCUUUCAUGUAUCUGGACCAGUAGUUCACUUACUCUGGAAGUCAGAGGCCCUAUGGACUGCCCAGCCCAGCUGCUGUGGAAUGUGGCAGAGAAAGAGGGUGAGAGGGCCUGAAUGGCUCCCAUGCCAGGAGUAUUAUGCAAACACGGGAGAAAAAACCAUGCCUCCUCUACUGGUCUACAGGAGCACUUGAAAACCUGCUCAUCUGCAAGCAAUGGGGCUCGACUCUACAUCACAGCAGUGGAUACUGCAUCGCCUUCGAGAACCCAAUGACUGGCUGCUGUAUUUUUAAUGCCUGAAUGAAAGAACAAAGGAAGGCGAACACCAGACAAGAUCGUUUCAUUCCUCCAUGAGCUGUUUGCAGCCUGGCUCAAGCUCAGCUACCAUAAAUGUUUUAAAAUUCUGUCUUUGCAAGGGAACAAG